rnacentral:rRNA from 1 species
AGUGAAUGCUGGCGGUAGGCCUUACACAUGCAAGUCGAACCGCAGCACAGGAGAGCUUGCUCGCUGGGUGGCUAGUGGCGGACGGGGGUGGCAUGCAAAGGACUCUACUCUGUCGUGGGGGAUAACGUAGGCAACCUGACGUGAAUACCGCAAACGACAUACGGGUGAAAGCAGGGACCCUUCGGGCCUCGCGCGUGUGAAUCAGCCUAUGUCGGAUUAGCUUGUGGGCGGGGUAAAGGCCCACCAAGGCGACGAUCCGUGGCUGGUGUGAGAGGAUGGUCAGCCACACUGGAACUGAGACACGGUCCAGACUCCUACGGGAGGCAGCAGUGGGGAAUAUUGGACAAUGGGCGCAAGCCUGAUCCAGCCAUACCGCGUGGGUGAAGAAGGCCUUCGGGUUGUAAAGCCCUUUUGUUGGGAAAGAAAUCCAGCUGGCUAAUACCCGGUUGGGAUGACGGUACCCAAAGAAUAAGCACCGGCUAACUUCGUGCCAGCCGCCGCCGUAA